AAGGGUAUAGCUCAGUGGUAGAGUGUGUGCUUAGCAUCAUGAGGUCCUGGGUUCAAUCCCCAGUGCCUCCA
rnacentral:tRNA from 1 species